UACUAGAGUAGCACUCGCAUAUCAAUAAGCGGAGGAAAAGAAACUAACAAGGAUUCCCCUAGUAACGGCGAGUGAAGCGGGAAGAGCUCAAAUUUGAAAUCUUAAAGGGUUUCCCUUUACGAAUUGUAGUUUAAAGAAGUGUUUUCUGUUGAGGUUUUGGUAAAAGUUCUUUGGAAUAGGACAUCAUAGAGGGUGAGAAUCCCGUAUUUGACCUUUACUUUCAACUUUGUGAUACACUUUCAAAGAGUCGGAUUGUUUGGGAAUGCAGUCCAAAAUGGGUGGUAAAUUUCAUCUAAAGCUAAAUAUUGGCGAGAGACCGAUAGCGAACAAGUACCGUGAGGGAAAGAUGAAAAGAACUUUGAAAAGAGAGUUAAACAGUACGUGAAAUUGUCAAAAGGGAAGCGUUUGACACCAGUGUUGUUUUUCUGAAAAUCAAUUAAAGAACUGUUUAUGCUAAGUUGUUUAGACUUUAUCAGCUAACUGUUUAGUUUUGAGCUUUUCUUUAAUGCACUUUUCAGUUAACAAGUCAACAUCAAUUUCUUUUGCUGUAAAAAAGCUUGAGGAAGGUGGCUUGAGAUUCGUCUUAAGUGUUUAUAGCCUCUUGCCUAUGCAGUCGGAGAGAUUGAGGUCUGCAGCGUAGAUCCUUCGGGGCUAAUGCAUUUGUGCUAAGCUAUAACAUUUUAUAGACAACUUGUUGACUAUGAUUUGUCUUGUAGCUUACUCGCUUAUGUUAUUUUACCUACGCUUAGGAUGUUGAGUAGCGACAUACGCAC
rnacentral:rRNA from 1 species